CGCGGUGCGGCCCGACCAACCCACCCCCACCGGCGUCGCCCCUCCCAACCUUCACCGUCGCCGAUGCUGCCCCUCCCAAAACCUUCACCGCGCCCGGCGCCGCCCCUCCCAAACUUCACCGCCGCCUGCAUCCCUCCGGCGCUGCCCCUCCCAACCUGCAGCGCCGCCUGCAUCCCGCGAAAGCCCCGGCCCCCGGAGAGCCGCGCCCCGAACUUCCGGUCGAAUCUGACCGGAUCCCGGCGAUGUCCUCCGCCCUGGCGACGCGAGCGCUCCCUUUCCUGGCUCCACGCAUCCCCGUGCCAUCCCCUUCCCUGGAUCCUUGACGAGCUCCGACGCCGCGUCAAGGAAGGCCGAGGUCGUCGCCUCAACCGCCACCCCUCCCUCUCCCGCAUCAAAAAGCCCCAGCGACGCGCGCCGCCGCGACGCCGCCCACCAGCCAGAUCAUGUGCCGCCGCCCACCACUAGGACCUCACGCCGCCGCCCACCACCACCGGGAUGUCCCCCUCUGCGCGCGGAUCCGGUCUUGCCCGAGCUCCCCCCCGGGAUGGAGGAACACAUGGCAGAGGCACCACCACCGGGAGGAGCAGAACAAGGUGCGCCGGCACCAGGAGCAGCUCACCGCGCCUCACCUGGACACCUCCUCCCUUCUCUUUCCAACAGAGCGUCCCGCAGCCACGCACCCCACCGUCGGCGCCGCUCCUCACCUCUGGCGUCGCCAAGAGCCUACACCACCUCGGGCCUUCUCCCACGCAGCCAGUGGCGGCUUCCUCUUCCUCCAGCUGCUCGCGCCCCUCCGCGGAGGACUCUCGCUAUCGCCUUUGCAACCCCUGCCUCAGCAUCCAUCAUGAAGACCAUGUAAAUCUGAACGUUCUAAAUCCGCUACACUACUAUGGUUGCUCUGUGUUGUGCCCUUUUGCUGGGUGAAGCUGUUGUUAUUUGGUAGCUUUGCCAUAGGCUGCUACAGCACUUGGAGCUUGGAAUCGAUUUCUUCAUUAGGUGUGUACUUGGACUGUCGAUAGGUAGCUCUGAUGUUUGUUUCUACAAUAUUGUUUGCAAUUCAGUAAUGUUGGUAUGAAUGCUUCUCUGUUCUUCGUCUUAUAGUAUGUUAAAUAAACAAUUGGGUCUGCAUAAAAAAAGAGUCUCGUUCUAAUUUUGAUUAGCUGUUCAUUUGAUAUGUUGUUAAAAAAGAAUUAUGGAGCAGUUAAACCAGAGCAUCAUCACCAACAGAGCAGUUAAAACAUCCGCUCAUGGAUACAACUAUAGAAGGAGCAGGUGAAUUACUUCUUGUUAGUUAGAACUGAUGCCUUAUUCUUCAGCCUGUUUUCAUCUUGAACUACUGCGUACUUGCUAUUAGAGGAGUGAAACCAGAGCAUGUGGCUGUUUGAUCAGCAGUUAAUUCUUCAUGGGCAUAUGCUCAGUCACUAGCCAGUAGUAGUCCAGUUAUGUUUUCUAAAUCAUAUACAACGUUUUGUCUUAUUUCCCUCACCACUUUCAGGUAAAAAAAGAGAGUUUUUGAUGGCUCAAUCAAGAAUAUGCACUUGCACUAGAAAUACAUGGACUAGUGAUUUGUGGAACUUGAGCUACAGAGAAUUGAGCCCCCACACGCCGCCACCCCAUCCGCCGCUGUGACAAGCAACCCUGGGAUUGCCACGACCUCGGCCAUUACAUACAGUCUAGAAGUUAGCUUAUUUUUUCUCGGCGAGGCCUUUUUUUCUUGUGUCUGUUUGGUUUGUGAAUUUUUGCUACUACUAACAGGGUAUAGAACAGCCUCUGAACUUCUAUGUUUUUUCUACAGGUGUUCAUUCUAUGGCUAGUAACCUUUUGAUGCCACUGUAUACCACAAUACAUAGGACAGGCUGUUCACAUUAUCACCCCUCGAAAAGCUCCUAACCUAGUUCAGUUGUGUAAAUUCGAUGUCAACCAGGUGCUUGAUAAUUGUUGAACUAGUGUUAUACUUAGUUGAAUUAUAAUAUGUGGGCUCUGCGCUGCUGCCCAACUGCCACACUAGAUUCUGUGUUGAGAGAGUAAAAAGUUAAUUCUUGGUGUUUUGUAUAAGUUCCUAGCUACUACGGCUACACUUUAUUUUGGAUUCUCGACGUUCUGUA